GGGCACAUUCCUGGGUUUCAGGCUCGAUCCCCAAUAGGGGAUGUACAAGAGGUUCUAAACGUCAUUCAUAUACAUCUUCAAGUCAGCUGGUGGAAUAUAAUGGCUAAAGACUGUGAAGCCAGAGUACCUAAGCUCUAAUUCUGGUUUUACUAAUUCCAGGUUAUAACGAUGAAGAGUGUUCAUGUCUUCUCCACUCCCUUAUUUACUGCCUGGAAAAGUCCUUGCACUGCUGUGCUUUCAUGCUGUUUUCUCAGAUAUUUCUCUGUCUAUACUGGGAAUACAACUCUAAGAUAGGAUACUUGCCACAUGAUCUACAGAUUCAACAGUUUAAAUUAAGAAAAGUCACAGACAGCUUUGGAAGAGCCAGAAUGAAGUUACCAGUUUUUCCUACUUCAUGGGAUUAUUGGAAGGAUUGAAUGGGAGAAUGUUAUAAAGCAUCUGCACAAUUCUUGGUACAUGUAAAGCUAGUCAAUAAUAUAAGUAAAACUCUAGUCUUCAAUGUUUAGGAUUUAGUGGUUAGGAUAAAAAGUGAUCUAUAUUUUUCCAAGCAAACUUAGAGAACAGAUAAUGAAUCAAAAAAAUUCAACAGGAUGAAAAUAGGCAGAACUGCCUGCCUUGCUCAUAAUUUUUUGUAAAAUGUCAAUUAUAAUGAAACUUCUGUGAGCAAGAUAUUUUUCUAUUUCUUGAUGGAUCUUUCAAGGGUUAUAUAUAUGUUCUAGAGGCCUGGUGCACGAAUUCGUGCACAGGUGGGGUCCCUAGGCCUGGUUGGAGAUUGGGGCCAAUUGGGCCAUCUCACCCAGUUCUGAUUGGGGCAGAUUGGGGCCGGCCAGGCAGGGGCAAGGACCAUGGCAGGCUGGUCAGCUGGGGGGAGUGACCAUGGGAUGUUGGCCAGGCACAGGAAGUUGGCUGUGGGAGCGUACUGACCACCAGGGGGCAGCUCCUUCAUUGAGCGUCUGCCCCCUGGUGGUCAGUGCACAUAUAGCAACCAGUUGACCCAUCAUUCGGUUGCUUAGGCUUUUAUAUAUAUAGAAUAUACACAGCUAUAUAUAACUGGGUGGUAGUACUAGAAGUAUUAUUGAGGUACAGAGGAAAGAGAAAAACAAUGGUCCAGAGUAGCUUGAGAACAUUUCAUUAAUGUUACUUAUGGUUGUUGAAGUAUCCAUAAAUUCUAAAAGAAAUUCAAAGGCAAAAGCACAACUUGGGGAAAAAAAGAAUAUGUUCAAAUAAUGUUAGUAAAAUAUCUGAUUGGUAUAGGGAUUUUUUUUUAAAUGUAAGUGGUUGAAAAUAAACUGAGCUGGAUAUUAUAGUAUAUGACUUAAUACAUAAAUAUUAUCAUUGUGAGUUUAAAUUUCCUGUCUUCACUGCUGAUAAGUCCUUGAGAGGAGAGAUUCUGCCACUCAUCUCAUCAUGCAGAUGCCUAGCACAGUGCCUACUUUCCUUAACCAUUUAUUUGCUGUUUCUUUAUUCCAAUUUAUCCUUAAGAUUCCUGUGCUAAUGACAUUGCAGGCUCAAAGGAUGAAGACAAAUAAAUAAUUAUAAUACCAAAUGGUAUAUGCUAUGACAGGGGAAAUACAGGGUUCAGUUGAAAAUAAUAUUAGUGGGGCUUCUUUUGGAAAAUUUUCUUAAAUAAAAUGCAUUUAAGGUGAGACAUACAUGUUAACUAGAAAAUUACCAGGCAGAGCAGCGGGAAAGAAUGGUCCAUAUAGAGAAACAAUAUGUAAAAAAGAUCCAAAAUUGAGAAAGGGCACAGCAUAAUCAAGGACUUAACUAAGGGAAGUUUGGCUUGACUAAAACAUAGAUUGUGAGGAAGAAAAGAACAAGCUAGACAAGCUCAUAAACUAUGUUAAGAAAUUUAGAAAGUAUCUUGAAGGUUUUAAGGAAUCAUGGUCACAUUUAUGCCCCAUUUCAGCAUUUUUUUUAAACACAAGUCCUCCUUAGAUUACAGUGAGUAUCUGAAAUUUACCUUGGGUUUUAGGCAAGAAAAAAUUCUUUCAAUGGUGCAAACUAAUUUUAUUGAAAUCAGUAGCAGUCAAUAUGGCAAUCGCUUGCUGACUCCUUGACAUCUCUUUAGCAGUAGAUUCCUCUGAUCACUAACACUACCUUUAUCUGUUGAAGUGAGGCAUUAGAAUGGAUUCUCUAAGACAGUAGUAAAUUAGCUUUUACUUUAUCGUUAUGGGAAAGCAAUUUCUAGAUCUCUUUUUUCCUGAGCCAACUCCUGUUAAGAGGGAAAUUCCAAGCAACUACCCCCAACUUUCCUGUGAGGGAAGGAAAAAAUAAAAACAACUAAACAAACAAACAAACAAAAAAUUUGUGGGACAUCUGGCCUCUAAAUCCUUCCAAACUUAAUUUUCUAUUGCUGACUUCAUAAGACUUCUUUAAAGCACAGCUUUCUAGUAGUGAGCUGUGCUGCUCCAUGAGAUUAGCUGAAUCUGUUCUUGUACUAAGUUCUCUGCAAAGUUAAGCACAAAGGACCAUGACCUGUGAUUUAGGAGCUCACCUAAGGUCCUAUAAAGUCAGAAUAGUUUAAAGGUGUAAAACUGAAUGUAGACUAAAAAGGCCUUACUGAUUAGCUAUCCUAACCCCUCAUUUUAAAAUGAAGACACAGAGGCCAAGAACUGUGAAGUGUACCAUAGUCCUUCUACAAGUUAGGCUAUAUCAAAUUUCAGUCAAUAUUUAAAUAAUAUUGAAUUACCCAAUAACUUUUCUAACAAGCCAUGCUUCCUCUCUAAAAAUAACACCCAACAUUUAUUGAGAACUCUCUAUGUGCAAGUCAAACUGCAUUUUAAGUAGUGAAAUUUUAGUCUUAACAACAGCUGUAAGAUAUAAGAAUUUUCAUUAUCCACAUUUUAUAUGUGAAGAUCUUAGGCACAGAGCAACUGAUUUACUGAGGUAACAGAGAUACUUUAUUGUUUAAAAAGGCAGCUAAUCCAGGAUCUAACAUUAUAAUGAUAUUAUUCUGUUACUACCUGCAUAGUUUAAGCUCAGUAAUUUAAAUCACUAGAAUGUUAGCUACUUGAAGAUAGAGGUUUUGUACUAUUUUGUUUAGUACUGGUUGUCUACUUAAGGCCUAGAAGAGUGAUUAUGAUAACUGCUCAAUACAUGAUUGUUUAUUGAAUUGACAUGGCUGUAUAUAAAAUAGCAUUAAGUAUGAACUGAAGUGCUUUAUAAUUCUUGGAUUCAGAAGAGUUCUGGGGACAAUUAUUUUUUAAUAAAAAAAUAUAAAAGUUAACUAUCUAUUAAGUACAACAUGAAAACAGUCUAUGGUUAACAUUAUUGGAUAGGAUUUUAAUUUAGCUAAUGUAGGCUAUUAAAAUCAGUUCACAUGUACUUUUCUCAAAAAGGCUUUCUGUGAGACCUGUUUCUGUAUUAGGUCCUGAACUUUAGUCUUAAAAUACCAUC